rnacentral:rRNA from 1 species
UACGAAGGGGGCUAGCGUUGCUCGGAAUCACUGGGCGUAAAGGGUGCGUAGGCGGGUCUUUAAAUCAGGGGUGAAAUCCUGGAGCUCAACUCCAGAACUGCCUUUGAUACUGAGGAUCUUGAGUUCGGGAGAGGUGAGUGGAACUGCGAGUGUAGAGGUGAAAUUCGUAGAUAUUCGCAAGAACACCAGUGGCGAAGGCGGCUUCCUGGUCUGCAACUGACGCUGUGGCGCGAAGGCUAGGGUAGCAAACAGG